rnacentral:ncRNA from 1 species
CACCGGAGUAGAAGCUGGCAGGGGGUCCGCACCCCGGGUCAUUGCUCCCUUC